ACCUGGGUGGCUCAGUCGGUUGAGUAUCCGACUUCGGCUCGGGUCAUGAUCUCACAGUCCGUGGGUUCGAGCCCCACUUUGGGCU
rfam:Felis catus isolate Cinnamon breed Abyssinian chromosome A2, whole genome shotgun sequence.